UGGUCUCAGUUACAGUUUUGAUACUGAGUGGCGGAUCUGUGGGGUUUGGGUGUUGUCGGGUGUUGUCGUCGUUCCCACCCCCAGGCUGUGGACAGCUAGAUAAACAGAAAACAGCUAUUUGUCCCCAUUGAUAGGCCUGUGUUAGUCUGAGAAGGUUUGACUUUUUUUUUUUUUUUUUUUUUUUGAGCUCAGGACUGGUUGGUGGCCCUUGACCCGGUGUCUGCACUUGGCUAGGAUCUGGAUGCUGCCAGCCAUCCUGCAAAAGGGAGGAGCAUGCUGCUCUAGCUCCUAGGAUCUAGAAAAGGAAGGAGAGGCUUGGGACAGGGUAUGUCGCGCACGUAGUAGCGUGUUGGAAGUUCAUGAAGUUCCUUUAGGAAGAGCUUGAAGAUGCCUUCUUGUCAUCAUAGCGGCUCUGCUUCAUUGACAUUUUAUGGAGACUGGAGAGGAGAGAGUCUUGUACACCCUGGGAGCUGGCAGCAGAGGACGCCUCGGAGCAGCCUGGAGGUGUACCUUUGCAGUGCUCUUAAGCAGUACGCCUUUCUCCGCCCCUGCUUCUUGCAGGGGGCCCUGAAGACUGAGUGCAGGACCCACUGGCGGACUGUUGAGUUGAUGUUUUAUCUGGGCAAGUGUGACUUUCCUGAACUGCACACCCUAUGGAAACUUUUUGUUCUUGCCCUUAAAAAAGCCUGAAAUAAGCAAAUACUCAGACCAGCACAACUGCCAUCAUUACCACCACCACGCACACCUCUCUGAUGUGUAAUAAAAGAGACCUGCAGGCGUAAUUUGUUAUGUAA
rnacentral:lncRNA from 1 species